UGGGAAAUCCCUGCUAAACUUUAGGUUUGCCAGAUUUUUGAGGCAGAGUGCUUGGAAAGGUAAUACACCAAAGUAAACCCGUGAAACAUCCAGAAACCUUACGUUUGUGGAUGUAUGUAGGAACUGGUGGAAGUUUCCAGGAAUCCUUACAGCUGGUUGUGAGGAGCGGUGGGUGUGAGGUGUGAACGGCUUUUUAUAUGUUAAUGACCCACAGGUAGAGGUGUCUUCUUUGUUUUCAGAGCUGAGUGGGGUGGGGUGGGGGGUUAACCAUGUCUCUUUAAGACAGCACAUACAGUAUUGUGGUACAUAAAAACUGUGUUUUCUAAAUAUGUUUAUUAUUAAUAUAAUUUAAUUAGUCUAUUUAAGAAACUAAGCAUCAUUCAAAAUAACUAAAAUUCAAUGGACACAAUUAUCAUUUUAAUGUGUGAAAAUUAUGUCUCUGACUCAAGAGAAAUGCAACAAAUAUUAUUUCAGAAUAUAUAUUUCCAACACUUUGAAAACAUGUCUCCAACUGCCCUAGGUCAGAAUAUUGUGAACGUAUCUCUCAAUGCUGCAUACAUCGUUUAAAAGAAGCCGUUCAAAUGACAUCAUGUAACUCAUUUUUGCUAGCUAGGAUGUUGAUAAAUUAGUCAGUGAAAUGUAAAGCUGCUUAUUUUUGCUGAUGUCUCAUGAUUUGAAGUUAACUGUUUCUGUUGUUAUUAUAAUUCUACCCUAACAUUUCAUUAAAUCUUUUAAAAUAGAAACAAAAAUAUCAAUAGACAGGUCCAUAAUCUAAAAGACAGUCUUUCACAUGUGGAUGCAAAACAUGUUGGGUGAAACAGACUGACAAACUCGGGUAAACAUAUCUGCAGAUACCUGUCAGCUACUGUACUUCUAGUCCAGAGGUGCCCAAAGUUGGCCCACAAAAGACCUUAAAUUUUUUUAUGUUUCAUGCAUAUUUGAAGGUGUAUAAAAUGCAUCACAAAACCUAAUGAACUCGGGUACUAUAGGCUAAAAAUGAAGAGGUUGCGGCAGUGGCACACAGAGAAAAGGAUAUUUAAAAUUGAUUGGCAAAACGAUUUCUUUUUUCUACAAAAAGCCUUGGAAAAUAAAACUGCAUUAGUUAUGCAUAAACAAGAGUAAUGUUUGCUUAUUUAUUUUUAAAAUAUUAGAAAAUUAUAAAUUAGGGGUUAUCAGGGCAACUUUAAUUUUAAUAUAACACAACAACAUUUACUUUUGGCCCACGGCCCUCAGUCAGGUUUGGCCCUUGUAAGGAAAAUGUUCGGGCACCAAUCAAUGUUCUAGUCUAUCUGAGGAGGUAACUUUUAGCAUUUGAUAAUGCAUGCUUGCACAAAGUCAGACCACAUAUUAUAAUGUUUGUCUUCAAUCAAUCAAUUUAAACAAAAGAGAUGGGGACUUUAUAAUAUAAUAAGGGUCCAUAUAUCACAGUGAAAAAAGACAUACAUGUAUUUUUACUUUAACAUGAACUAAUGCUGAGUUACAGCAUAUCCUAAUAAUAAACUAUUGAAGAGUCAUCAUUAACUACGACAUGUUUUUCAUUGUUAGUUAAUGCAGUCAUUUACAAUAAAUUAAUUUGAGUUCAUGUUGUAGUUAAGUAAGUUCAGUAAGUUACAUGUCUUAACUCAGCAUUAGUUUAUAUUUACUAAUAUUUAAGUAAGAAUUCAUUUAGGUAUACGUUCAAUGUUUCCAAUGAUGAGCCACUCAUCCACUAAACCCAGAGAUAAUUCCUGAGGCAUGUUUAAAGAGUUUUGUAUUUCAUCAAGAAGGUGCUGCUGAUUCACAAAGAUUUUAUAUUUAAGAAAAUCUGAGCAUCAUUCCAAAUAACUGUUAACAUGUUUGUCAACUAAACAUGUUUUGUAAACGUAAUAAACUUUAUAAAAAUAUUUUUUAUUUUUUAUUAAUAAUCAAGUAUAAAGAACAAUGCAUAGUGUGAAAACGCGGAUUAUAAAAAGUAUAUUAAAGAAAAGGACUACAUUUCCCAGAAUGCACCUGCACCUACUCAUCUGCCCCCACCCUUCAGGUGUGACUGCUCAACCUAUGGGCUUGACGGGAAAAUUCAAAAUCGCGAACCGUUACUGCCUGGACUACUCCGUCUCUUAUUUGUUUGUUUGCUCAUCAACAGUAAGAGGUCAUGUACACUGUGGUCAACUUUGUGGACGAUGAAGAGGUUUCUGGGUAAAGCUGAUAGAAAUAUAAUGAAGUAACAGUGAAAGCUAAAACAUCAGACUGAUCCAGACACUGAAGAAAUUGAUGUCACUGCAAUCUGGCCAAAAUGAUACAACUAUAUUGAAGUAGCCUACUGUAAUGAAGCUGCAGAACAACACAGAGACUCUGAGGACAUCAACACAGAAAAUUAAGGCUCCAAAGAGAUGUCUGUCCAGAUGAGGGUGCAUCAACGUUACCUUUGCUGACAAGUAUAUGCUUUACAAUGUAAAACCUAACAGUUAACUUAACUCAAACCAUUUAAGGAAAUCGGUUGCCUUAACCCAU